rnacentral:rRNA from 1 species
CCUACGGGAGGCAGCAGUGGGGAAUAUUGGGCAAUGGUCGCAAGCCUGACCCAGCAACGCCGCGUGAAGGAAGAAGGCUUUCGGGUUGUAAACUUCUUUUCUCAGGGACGAAGAAAGUGACGGUACCUGCGGAAUAAGCCACGGCUAACUACGUGCCAGCAGCCGCGGUAAUCCGUAGGUGGCAAGCGUUAUCCGGAUUUAUUGGGUGUAAAGGGCGUGUAGGCGGGAGGGCAAGUCAGAUGUGAAAACUCAGGGCUCAACCCUGAGCCUGCAUUUGAAACUGUGUUUCUUGAGUGCUGGAGAGGCAAGCGGAAUUCCGGGUGUAGCGGUGAAAUGCGUAGAUAUACGGAGGAACACCAGUGGCGAAGGCGGAUUGCUGGACAGUAACUGACGCUGAGGCGCGAAAGCGUGGGGAGCAAACAGGAUUAGAUACCCGUGUAGUC